GAUGAACGCUGGCGGCGUGCCUAAUACAUGCAAGUCGAGCGAACGGACGAGAAGCUUGCUUCUCUGAUGUUAGCGGCGGACGGGUGAGUAGCACGUGGAUAACCUACCUAUAAGACUGGGAUAACUUCGGGAAACCGGAGCUAAUACCGGAUAAUAUUUUGAACCGCAUGGUUCAAAAGUGAAAGACGGUCUUGCUGUCACUUAUAGAUGGAUCCGCGCUGCAUUAGCUAGUUGGUAAGGUAACGGCUUACCAAGGCAACGAUGCAUAGCCGACCUGAGAGGGUGAUCGGCCACACUGGAACUGAGACACGGUCCAGACUCCUACGGGAGGCAGCAGUAGGGAAUCUUCCGCAAUGGGCGAAAGCCUGACGGAGCAACGCCGCGUGAGUGAUGAAGGUCUUCGGAUCGUAAAACUCUGUUAUUAGGGAAGAACAUAUGUGUAAGUAACUGUGCACAUCUUGACGGUACCUAAUCAGAAAGCCACGGCUAACUACGUGCCAGCAGCCGCGGUAAUACGUAGGUGGCAAGCGUUAUCCGGAAUUAUUGGGCGUAAAGCGCGCGUAGGCGGUUUUUUAAGUCUGAUGUGAAAGCCCACGGCUCAACCGUGGAGGGUCAUUGGAAACUGGAAAACUUGAGUGCAGAAGAGGAAAGUGGAAUUCCAUGUGUAGCGGUGAAAUGCGCAGAGAUAUGGAGGAACACCAGUGGCGAAGGCGACUUUCUGGUCUGUAACUGACGCUGAUGUGCGAAAGCGUGGGGAUCAAACAGGAUUAGAUACCCUGGUAGUCCACGCCGUAAACGAUGAGUGCUAAGUGUUAGGGGGUUUCCGCCCCUUAGUGCUGCAGCUAACGCAUUAAGCACUCCGCCUGGGGAGUACGACCGCAAGGUUGAAACUCAAAGGAAUUGACGGGGACCCGCACAAGCGGUGGAGCAUGUGGUUUAAUUCGAAGCAACGCGAAGAACCUUACCAAAUCUUGACAUCCUUUGACAACUCUAGAGAUAGAGCCUUCCCCUUCGGGGGACAAAGUGACAGGUGGUGCAUGGUUGUCGUCAGCUCGUGUCGUGAGAUGUUGGGUUAAGUCCCGCAACGAGCGCAACCCUUAAGCUUAGUUGCCAUCAUUAAGUUGGGCACUCUAAGUUGACUGCCGGUGACAAACCGGAGGAAGGUGGGGAUGACGUCAAAUCAUCAUGCCCCUUAUGAUUUGGGCUACACACGUGCUACAAUGGACAAUACAAAGGGCAGCGAAACCGCGAGGUCAAGCAAAUCCCAUAAAGUUGUUCUCAGUUCGGAUUGUAGUCUGCAACUCGACUACAUGAAGCUGGAAUCGCUAGUAAUCGUAGAUCAGCAUGCUACGGUGAAUACGUUCCCGGGUCU
rnacentral:rRNA from 1 species